AAAUGAGAUUUUUUUUUCUUCACCAUCUUGAUUUUCACCACGUAUUAUGUAAAAGUGUGGUUUUCACAUUGUUCUAUUCUACGUUUUUACGAUUUAUUCAACCAAUGCAUUUCGGCGUACCUUCGGUCCGUAGCAUAUGAAAGCGCCAAUCAUUUUACAUGUUUCAUGGAAUACUUGCGAGUCCGCAUGUGCGUCUACUGAGCUGGGUUCAGUGAGAUUAUUGCACUCUAAUGUGCAGUUCUGCUGCAAUUUGCAAGAUAUUCUCAAUUUCAGGCUUCAUUUUCCACCCUCUGAUUUUGAACCAAAAAAUUUCUUGAUUAUUUUAUCAUGUAAAGUCUUUGAAAAUUAUUUUGCCUUCUGUCAAAGAAUAGUGAUAAAAAUAUUUUUUGAGUGCUUAAAAAGUACUUAAAAGGUGCUUAUUUUUUGUUGAAAGAUUUAGCUAUUCACCCUGUUAUAGUUUUUAACUUAACGAAACUUAGUAUUCACCCAUUUUAAUUUAUCUUAUUUGAAUUUUUAUAUAUUAUUUUACAUGCUGUGCAUAUUUAUAAAUUACAUUACAAUACUGUUAUGUAGGUCUAUUUUAAAUAUUCAGCUUUAAUGAAUCAAUAAAUAAAAGCACUGAGCUGUUAUUGUGUAGAUUCAGGAUCGGAUUUCUGUCUCAGAUUGUGCUACAAUCAUACUACACUUUGCUCAAUGUUUUUACUAACGGCUGGCAUUGAACUUCUUAUUUUUACCUCGAAAGAUGCUGGAACUGUUACUUAUUUAAUGUUACUUGGUGGCCACCUAUGAACCUUAGUCAUGAAGGGAAGCAUCAUUACCCACACCCAUUCACACAUCAUACAACAAAGGAUAACACCUAGAAAGAAACAUCUAUACGCUGAACGUGCUUCGAAUUCCGAACUAUUUACUUCACAGUCAGACAUAUUAACAUAUUAUUCGAUAAUUAGAUAGGUUUGAGACAUAACUACCACUACAAUUAUUAAACAUCAAUUCGCAAGUAUAUAAGACAUGUUAACUCAAUUCAAUCUUGAGAAACCUUUUGAUAGAUAACAACUCUCCCUAAAGGUUUAUAUUAUAAAUAAUAAACUAAUAAAAAAUAUUGAUAUUAGAGA